rnacentral:rRNA from 2 species
UACGGAGGGAGCUAGCGUUGUUCGGAAUUACUGGGCGUAAAGCGUACGUAGGCGGUUAUUCAAGUCAGAGGUGAAAGCCCGGGGCUCAACCCCGGAACGGCCUUUGAAACUAGAUAGCUAGAGUCUUGGAGAGGUUAGUGGAAUUCCGAGUGUAGAGGUGAAAUUCGUAGAUAUUCGGAAGAACACCAGUGGCGAAGGCGACUAACUGGACAAGUACUGACGCUGAGGUACGAAAGCGUGGGGAGCAAACAGG